GCCCGGACGGUCCAUACCAUGGACGGUCCGUGGGUGUAGCUCGGACGGUCCACGAUUAUAUUAACUCGGGCGACAGUCCUUAUCCCGCGCGUGCUUAUCGAGCUAAUCAUGCGGGAAUCUGUUGGAAUACACCUAGAAACGAGUCCAGACCUCCACCUACAUAUAUGAAGGGGUACGAUCAAUUAACGUGCGACAUAAUCGAUCCAAUCAAUCAAUUACCAUUACCUUUACAUUCUUGCCAUAGGAGGAGUAGUAAUUUAGGCCUUCCUCAUCCUCAAUCUUCACCUCUCCUCGACUCUACAUUGUUUAUAGGCGUCUUGGGUGACCUACUGACUCCAAAAUAACCCUAGGAUUUUUCCUCCCUGACGGGGUCCCUCCCGAGGGCGAGAUCCAGGUUCUACAGGAGAUCCAUGAAGCCCUCUAUGCACCUCGCGGACAAUCCGCCACCCAUACGCGGAUGGUUCACGCGCCUGUAGAGAAGACUGGGUCUCUUUGCACAGUUGCGGACGGUCAAGUCGCUCAUCGCAGAUGGUCUGUCCUCACGAAGAGAAGACCCUGAGGUCUCGCGUGUCGUACACCGACCCUAGGUUUUGUUUGGUGAUUGGCCCCAAAAGCAAGCCAACACACUUUUUGACGACUCCGCUGGGGACGAAGCUGUCUAGAUCAACCAAAAAUCAACCUCCAAAUGGCCGGUUCUAAGGAUCACACCGAGGUCUCCACCAGCAACAUCAUCAAGCCGACCCUAGAGGAACUAUUUGUUAAUGAUCAACAACGCUUUGAGGAUAUCAUGAAGCAAAAUGAGAAAGAAGUGUUGCAACAACUCGUGAAUGACGUAAGAAGGAAAAGGAGAAGUACUUAUCACAAUUCACGCUGGAUCGCCACCAGAAGAUCAUCCGCCAAGGGGUGAUCGAGAUAGCAUCUCUCCAACCUUCGCCUCAGGCCCCCACUGUAAGUACUCUAGAUCCAUCUUUUAAAUCUUUUAUAGAACAUCGGGGGAUCAGUAGUUAAAACAAUAUAUAGAUGAAUCUAUUAAAGGUUAGCACUUCUGUAUGAAGAAUUUACCGUCCCGAAUUUUCCCUCAUAUGAACCUAAUACAGAGCCAGUUUUACCUAACACAUUGGCUAUAAAUGGGUCAUCACUAACCCAGCCAUCAUAUGGUAUGCCGAUGAACACAUUCACAACACAACCACCAUCACCACUGCCUAACACACAACCAACAGGGCAUGACCAGACAGCGCGAGCCUAAUCUCGGACAAUCCGGCCACCUCACGGACCAUCCGACACCCUUUGCCGGAUCGUCUGAUUCUACACCGAUUCAUGCACACGCCACCUAGAUAACGCCAUAUAUGGUCGGACAGUCCGUGUAUAGCCUCGAACUCCACGACCUAGUAGCGGACUGUCCGACAAUGCACACCAAACUGUCCGAAGUUCAAUCGGACCGUCUGGUGCCUUAUGUCGGUCCGUCAAGCUAUGUGUACAUAGAACAAGGAGCUGCACCAUAUGCACAAUUUCCACAUAUAUCCCAACAAUAUUACACCAUCCCACCUGCAGCACAUUAUAGCCACCCAAAUACCACCUCCUGCUCAUGGAACUGAAUACUAUUCAGCCUCUAAGGAGCAAGAGAGACACAUGGAAAUGAGGGGGGAACCAUCUAUCCACCAAAUACACAUUUGGACUAUUAUUGGGUGGAAGGUCGACGCGACAAUGUUCAGCCACCUGAAAUCUUCACCCAUGAACUUAGUGGAUGGUCGCCAGAUGUUGUACAAAAUAAUUAGAGAAGAAAUAGCCAAGUUGUUUAGGGGAUAACUCAACGUUAGUGUGUCAGGCACGGGACAAUCGUAUUGAAAGCCUUAUGGCCACCGAUUCGACAACAUGCCAUAUCCACAAGGGACUAGGAUGCCAUAUUUCUCCAAGUUUUCUGAUGAAGGCGAGAGGAGCACACAUGAGAGACACAUUGAUUUUUUCUCGUGGUUCGUCCAAAGUCUACUCCAUGUUGUGGUGACAUCCUUUGGUCAAGGGUUGCACUCAACCCCUCUAAAGUGAUCCAAAGUUAUAACUUGAGUGCCACAGUAUUCUUCUUUAUAUCUCAACCCGUUUGGAAGGAAUCUUCACAAGUUAGAGUCUCUCACGCCUUACACAAAAUGAUCACAAUCCAAAAUCAGAGUAAGAGAGAGAGUAAGAGCACACACAAGUACACAACGCAACAACAACACGCAUGAAAGCAAAGAUAAGAGCGCAACAACAAAACGACAGAGUAACAGCUCAGAAAUGCGAUCAACUCUCUCUCGAAUCACUGAACAACGUGGUCGCAAAGUCUCGAAGUUGUAGUAUGCACUUGUGAUGCUUGGGUGCUAAAUAGAGGCACCAUGGGGUCCCUUUUAUAGCCCCAAGUGUCCUAGGAGUCGUUGCUCCUUCCUUCAAUAAACUGCCAAAAAUCUUCUCUAUGUGGGGGCAUCGGACCGGUCUAGUGAUUUUUAGUGAAAAUUUCUGAGAGCGCACUAUUUGGCUGGGUCGCAUGGACCUAGUCCGGUGCGCCACCGGACAGUCCGAUGCUCCCAGACCAGACUGGGUUAAGGCCCUUUUUAGCCUAAUUUCUCCAAACUUUUUCUUCCUUUCUUGAGGGGUUCUCUAGCAUUUAUAUAAGCAUUUUAGCACAUAAAACAAUUGACGAGUGUUAGAACGAUUACCUCUUUCACUUCAUUGCAAAAGGAUGUGCAAUAUGUGUAAACUUAAGCCCAAAAGGUGCUUUUCUCUACAAUAUAAGUUAGAGCCCAAACACAAGUACCAGAAAUAUUAUAAUGGACCCAUGCAAUAUAUUUAAAGUGCAAACCUCACACUUGUACCAUUUUACAUCAAGUUGCUCACUUGGGUCCAUGUUUGUGCUCUUUUGAACUUGAUAUCUUCAAUUUCUUUCUUUACACAGGUGCUCAUGCUCUUACCAAUGCAAUUAGUUCAAAGUGGUGUGUUGGGCAUUUAAUCACCAAAACAACUACAAAUGGCCCUCUCUCAAUCAGUCACGAAGACUGGUUGAGUUUUCUUUUCUUCUCAGGGACACCGUCUCACAAGGAUCUCCACACAAAGAAAUGGAGUCUCUUGCUUAACUUUUCAACUUUUGAGAAUGGGGUGAGAGAGAGAAUGAAAACCCAAAUGAAGAGCACAAGAGUUUGCAAUACUCAAGGACACAAGCACUAAGUCUCUCUUCACUCAAAUCGAUCGGAUGCGCUCUUACGUGGCUUUGCAUGUGUAGGAGUUGUUGCACUUGAUGUAUGGUUGCUUGGUGUAGCUCUUGUGUCUUUAAUGUGCUAGUUGGGGUGUAUAUAGCCCCAACCACCCCAAAUAGUCGUUAGAAAGCUGGGUUAAACACUGUACCUGCAGGUGGUGCACUAGACCCACUAUAAUGUUGGCCCGGUGCACUACCGAACCGUCUGUAUCGACAUAGGGCAGGUGACCGUUCGGACUAUCAGAGGCACCAGACCAUGAAUAGUGAAGGUCUAGUGACCUCCGGACCCUACCACGUCAGCAUAGUCGUUGGAGCAAAGAUGAGCUUUGGGAUUUGUCAGACGGCCUAGUGCGCCACCGGACCGGUCCAACGCGCCAGCUCCAAAAACCCUAAAUACAUCCUAUCUGUGUAACCAGUUCGAAUAGCCAUCGGACCGGUUUGGCGCGCUAGCUGAGAAAGGCCAAGUCUCGGCCUCUCUGCACGGACGGUCCGGUGCACCACCGGGGCGAUCAUGUGCGCCAAACAGUAGACCUGUCUUUGCAAUCAAAUCCAAAUCUUCUUCAAAUGAUUUUGACUGGUCUUGAGGAUGUUCCUAUGACUUAGACAAAUAUAUCUAGUGCCAAUCCAACUAGUCUAAGUUAUGGAUCUUGGACAUUUCAGUCUCUUAAACUCAUAUCUUGUUUUUGCUCAAACUAGCUCCAAAAAGGUGUUUCAUUGAAAUUGAGCUCUUCAACCUCCAUAAGUGU
rnacentral:lncRNA from 1 species